UAGAGGCCAAGAGCAAGAAGGGAAAAUGGAAUGGGGGAAGCCUGGGCCUGGACCAGCUCCAACUAGUUAUAGACCACGCAGGGUGAGCUGGGUAGUUUUGUCAGCUUGUCAUAAACUAGAGCCACCUGGGAAGAGAAAGACUCAGCUGAGGCUUGCCUCCAUUAGAUUGACCUGUGGCCACAUCUGUGGGCCAUUUUCUGGAUUGAUUUUGACGUGGAAGGCAGUGCCAUCUUUAGGCCUGUGGUCCUGGGUUCUAUAAGGAAGCAAGCUGAGCAAGCCAUGGAAAGCAAGCCAACAAGCUACCCUUCCCCAGUGGCCUCUGCUUCAGUUCCUGCCUCCAGGUUCCUCCUUGAGUUCCUGCCCUGGAUUUCCUCCAUGAUGGACUGUAACCUGCAAACAAGCUUCUCAGAUGGACCCCCGAGUUUGGGACAUCCAGCACCUCUCUGUUGCAAAGCAUCAUUCUCCAGUUGUCAUCCAUUUACUGGACCCUACCAGCCUUUGGAACUAAGAACUUCAGGGAGAAGCAAUACAUUUCCAAGGGUUUUGAUGAUCAAGGAAUGGUGGAGGAGUCAUGACAGGCCAAGGGCAAGCUGAACUGCUGAAGCUUCUGAAAGGCGACAGCUGUUGACAUGAGAAGACAAAGAACUUCCGGCCCCUGCUGCCCCAAUGAAGGCAGCUGGGGAACCACUCGGGGAAAUGUAUUAUUGCAGAGAGCUGCCAACGGUGAUGGCGACUCCCUGGCACCAGCUGCACAAUCUGAAACCUGCCUCCGCUCAAGUCACACAGACUGGAGGGGCACAGAGAGACACAACAUCUGGGUCACUGGCUGUGCUUUCUAGUUGGCAGCCAAGUAUUUUGGCGUCAUGGAGUUAAGACUUGAUUGGUCUUGGUGUAAAUUGCUGGCCCCUGCUACCCUGCUUUUGGGGCCCACACCUGCUGAAUCAUUUCUGAAGCGAUCCAUGUAGGACAUUCCUUACACUGAAGUGGGACAGGCCAGGCCUCCCCUGCCCACAUUUGUGUUCUUCGGCUAGAAUUUCAAAGAUUUCCUUUUUGGAAAAAAAGAUACCUUAGCAAUGUCUGGUAGUAAUGACACAUUUUUCAAACUGCUGUCAAAAAGCGGAGAACAAAUCUUCCAGUCUCUUCUUAAAUUCCCCUGUAACUUUAUACAGUAAAGUACAACAAAAGUCACUCUUUGCAGUGCACAUCUCUACAGGUUUUGACAAAUUUA